AGUGAACGCUGGCGGUAGGCCUAACACAUGCAAGUCGAACGGCAGCACAGUAAGAGCUUGCUCUUACGGGUGGCGAGUGGCGGACGGGUGAGGAAUACAUCGGAAUCUACUUUUUCGUGGGGGAUAACGUAGGGAAACUUACGCUAAUACCGCAUACGACCUACGGGUGAAAGCAGGGGAUCUUCGGACCUUGCGCGAUUGAAUGAGCCGAUGUCGGAUUAGCUAGUUGGCGGGGUAAAGGCCCACCAAGGCGACGAUCCGUAGCUGGUCUGAGAGGAUGAUCAGCCACACUGGAACUGAGACACGGUCCAGACUCCUACGGGAGGCCGCACCGUGGAAUAUUCGAUAAUGGGCGAAAGUCUGAUCCUGCCAUAGCGCGUGCGUGAAGAAGAAGUUCGGGUUGUAACGCGGCUUUCUUAGGAAAGAAAAGCCGCAGGGUUAGAGCUCGCUAUUCUGCCGUUACCAAAAGAACAAGCACCGGCUAACUUCAGU
rnacentral:rRNA from 1 species